rnacentral:misc_RNA from 1 species
GAACGCAUCUUGCGCCCCUUGGUAUUCCGAGGAGCAUGCCUGUUUGAGUGUCAUUUAACUUCUCAACCAACAUCGGAUAUAUUCUGAUGCUGGCUUUGGAUAUGGGGGUUUGUUUGCAGGCUUUUUUUUCUGUAGAAGGAAAGGUCGGCUCCCCUGAAAUGUAUUAGUGGUAUCUGAGGCUAUUGCUAUAGGUGUGAUAAUUUAUCUAUGCCUUUGGUAUGCUGCAUGAACAGAUUACACUGCUUCAAACUCUCAAUUGUUGAUAAAUUUGACCUCAAAUCAGGUAGGACUACCCGCUGAACUUAAG